rnacentral:rRNA from 1 species
GAUCAUGGCUCAGGAUGAACGCUAGCUACAGGCUUAACACAUGCAAGUCGAGGGGCAGCAUUUUAGUUUGCUUGCAAACUAAAGAUGGCGACCGGCGCACGGGUGAGUAACACGUAUCCAACCUGCCGAUAACUCAGGGAUAGCCUUUCGAAAGAAAGAUUAAUAACCUGAUGGCAUAGGAUUAUCGCAUGAUAAUCCUAUUAAAGAAUUUCGGUUAUCGAAUGGGGUAUGCGUU